rnacentral:lncRNA from 1 species
GUGAAAUCUAGCAGGCAGAUUGAUUUUCAGUUCCAUUUUUGCGUGUAGUAAUAGGUAGCUCAACGCUUCUGGAUAGGCUGGUUGUUCUGUGGAACAAGUGGACAUCAACACAUAACACAAGCGUUUCCUUCUGGGAUCGAGAAACAAGUGUGUGAGAAAAGACAGCUGUCAUCGCUCUUCCAGCCUUCCUGAGCCACUGAUGCUACUACUGUAGACACCUUGGAACACUCCCUUCCGUAUCUGCUCUGGUCACUCCUGGAAGAACAAAAGCACCCGGCCGUCUCCUUAGAACAAAGAUUUGUGUCCACUGCCCAGCUGCUAGAGACCACAGCAUGCAGCCAAGGUCACUUUGCAGAAGAGAUAUGCAUGACUUCACAGUGUUCACAGUAGCUUCCUGUCAUAUGUUUGGUAAGGAUCGAAGGGACAGACGGAAGGGUGUGUCUCUUCCUGUGGCAUUGAGAGCCUGGUUUGUAGACAUUCCUCAGAGGGAGGUUCUUGGGAAGAGACACAAAACUCAUCUUCAGGGCAGUUCUAAUGUCACUGCUGGUUUUGUGAUUCUAUCCAGUGAGAAGCU